rnacentral:rRNA from 1 species
CCUACGGGAGGCAGCAGUAGGGAAUUUUCGGCAAUGGGGGGAACCCUGACCGAGCAACGCCGCGUGAACGAAGAAGUUAUUCGUAAUGUAAAGUUCUUUUAACAGGGAAGAAAGAGAAAUUUGACGGUACCUGAAGAAUAAGCCCCGGCUAACUACGUGCCAGCAGCCGCGGUAAUACGUAGGGAGCGAGCGUUAUCCGGAAUUAUUGGGCGUAAAGGGUGCGUAGAUGGCAUAGUAAGUCUUUUGUAAAAAUGCUGGGCUCAACCCAGUAGGGCAAAAGAUACUGCAAAGCUAGAGUGUGACAGAGGCAAGUGGAACUACAGGUGUAGCGGUGAAAUGCGUAGAUAUAUGUAAGAACACCAGUGGCGAAGGCGGCUUACUGGACUGUAACUGACGUUGAGGCUCGAAGGCGUGGGGAGCGAACAGGAUUAGAUACCCUUGUAGUC